rnacentral:lncRNA from 1 species
CCGCCAAGACCCUGAACAACUACCGCCGCCGCCGUGUACCACUACUUCCACUACCGUCGCGAGAACGACUACUUCCACUACCAUCGCCACGUGAAUAACUACUUCCCUCGAUGACUCGAACCACUCCGAAAACGCACGCUUCGAAGGUAUAAGCCCCGAGACGAUCAACCGUGGACCGAAUGAAUGUGUGUUGUAUGUGAUGCUUGUGUGUGCACCGCGUCCGAAUUGUCGCUCUUUGCCAUGCCUCCGACACGUGGGAACCCAGAAUCCGGGAGCACCCCACCAUCUCUAGCAUGUUGCACACAUCCGCACGCCUCCUUUUGCACCGGUAUCUCCGUGAGCUACCGGAACCGAUAUGUUGCCGUGGCAUCAUUUUCAGAUAUGUUGCCGUGGCAUCAUUCUCGGAUAUGUUGCCGUGGCAUCAUUUUCGGAUAUGUUGCCGUGGCACCAUUUUCGUUAUCGUUGCCAUGGCACCCCUUUCGUUCCACCACGGUGACAAAUGCCUCGUAUCAUGCUCAUGUCAACAUUUUCAUAAAAAUUGCAUAAACUUGCAUAUGUCAUCCGCAUCAUGAUAACAAUAUUUAAAAUGUUUAAAAUUGCGUUUGCAUUAAACUACUAAAUGACAUGGGGACUUUACGGGAAUUGUUGUUUGUUGUUUCCGGCCUCAUUUAAAAUUGCCUAGCUAGGUAGUUUUAUUAUGCUUCACCCCUUUUGCCAUGUUUAAUGACAUUUAAUAUUGUUGGGUACAUAACCGAGAGAGAACUAAAUAAGUGAUGUGGUGUUUUGUCAAUAUGCAACUCGUUGCAUAUUGAGUUCCACUUAACUUGUAGUGUUGUUUUUGCAUAUUGCCAUGCCAUGCCUCUUUAAACCGGACAUGCAUCAUAUUUGGUUGUGCAUCAUGCCAUGUUAUGCUUGUGUGUUUACCAUGUUGUUUGCUUCUUUCCGGUUUGCUUCUCUCGUUAGCUUCAGUUUCGUUCCGAAGUUGUGAGGAUUCGUUCGACUACGUCUGUUUGUCUUCUUCAUGGACUCGUUCUUCUUCCUUGCGGGAUUUCAGGCAAGAUGACCAUUACCCUUGAUAUCACUUCUAUCUUUGCUUGCUAGUUGCUCCGUUCUAUCGCUAUGCUGCGCUACCUAUCACUUGUUUUCCAUGCCUCCCAAAUUGCCAUGUCAGCCUCUAACCUUUUCACCCUUCCUAGCAAACCGUUGUUUGGCUAUGUUACCGCUUUGCUCAGCCCCUCUUAUAGCGUUGUUAGUUGCAGGUGAAGUUGAAGAUUGCUCCAUGGUGGACAGGAUUAUGUUGGGAUAUCACAAUAUCUCUUAUUUAAUUAAUGCAUUUAUAUACUUGGUAAAGGGUGGAAGACUCGGCCUUAUGCCUGGUGUUUUGUUCCACUCUUGCCGCCCUAGUUUCCGUCAUACCGGUGUUAUGUUCCUGGAUUUUGCGUUCCUUACACGGUUGGGUGAUUUAUGGGACCCCCUUGACAGUUCGCUUUGAAUAAAACUCCUCCAGCAAGGCCCAACCUUGGUUUUACCAUUUGCCUACCUAAGCCUUUUUCCCUUGGGUUCUGCAGACUCAAGGGUCAUCUUUAUUUGAACCCCCCCGGGGCCAGUGCUCCUUCGAGUGUUGGUCCGAACUGAGCUGCCUGCGGGGCCACCUUGGGGAAACUUGAGGGCUGGUUUUACUCAUAGCUAGUCUCAUCCGGUGUUGCCCUGAGAACGAGAUAUGUGCAGCUCCUAUCGGGAUUUGUCGGCGCAUCGGGCGGCUUUGCUGGUCUUGUUUUACCAUUGUCGAAAUGUCUUGUGAACCGGGAUUCCCAGGCUGAUCGGGUCUUCCCGGGAGAAGGUAUAUCCUUCGUUGACCGUGAGAGCUUAUCAUGGGCUAAGUUGGGACACCCCUGCAGGGUAUAUUAUCUUUCGAAAGCUGUGCCCGUGGUUAUGAGGCAGAUGGGAAUUUGUUAAUGUCCGGUUGUAGAGAACUUGACACCAGAUACGAAUUAAAACGCAUCAACAGCGUGUGUAGCCGUGAUGGUCUCUUUUCGGCGGAGUCCGGGAAGUGAACACGGUUUUGGGUUAUGUUUGACGUAAGUAGUAGUUCAGGAUCACUUCUUGAUCAUUGCUAGCUUCACGAUCGUUCCAUUGCUUCUCUUCUCGCUCUUAUUUGCGUAUGUUAGCCACCAUAUUUGCUUAGUGCUUGCUACAACUCCACCUCAUUACCACUUCCUACCCAUAAGCUUUAAUAGUCUUGAUCUCGCGGGUUUUGAGAUUGCUGAGUCCUCGUGACUCACCAGAUACUAUCACAACAGUUGCAGGUGCCGAUGAUACCAGUGCAGAUGAUGCAACCGAGCUCAGAUGGGAGCUCAAUGAAGAUCUUAGUUGUUGCUAUGUUUCGUUUCAUGUUGAUCAGUAGUGGAGCCCAGUUGGGACGAUCGGGGAUCUAGCAGUUGGAUCUUAUUUUCUUUUGGCUUCGUCCGUAGUCGGACUAUGUAUGUACUCUGAAUGAUGUAUGAUUUAUUUGUUCAUUGUGUGAAGUGGCGAUUGUAAG